ACCCGCAAAUCCGACCACUCUCCCCCCCUCAUUCACUCUCAUCUGAUUUUUGAAGACUCUCUCAAGUGUUCUCUCCAUUUUGAACCCCAAGAACACCAAAGAAACUUGGAAGCUAAGUCUUGGUCUAGGAAGGGUUUUCCCUAAGUUGGUUAGGGUUUUUGAAAGGUUUUGAAGGAGUCAAAGCUUAUAGGAAGGUCCAAACCUUAAGCAAGAACACCAAAGAGGUAAGGGCAAGGGCAGGGCAGAGCAGUGAGCGCUGGAGUCUUCCUUGCAAAUGUACAUGUGGACCGACCUUUUGGGAAGCCUUUUUAUUUUUGGAAAUGUUGUGUAAUUUUCCUAAACUAGGCUCACUCUAAUCUUUGUAAAACAUGUUUGUAACUAAAUGUUAAGUAUGGCCAUACGACUUUUUAAAAAGUUUUUUUUUCUAUGGGUUUUUGAGACAUUUUGUUAAAUGAAAACAUUUAUA